rnacentral:tRNA from 1 species
GCCCCGUUAGCUCAGGGGAUAGAGCACCGGCCUCCGGAGCCGGGUGCGUAGGUUCGAAUCCUACACGGGGCA